GGUCGGAAGUUCAAGUCUUCCCAGGCCCACCACACUCAUCGAGUGAGCAUUCGUCUUCUGGUUACGGGGCCAUAGCUCAGCUGGGAGAGCGCGUGCUUUGCAAGCAUGAGGUCGUCGGUUCGAUCCCGUCUGGCUCCACCAGAUGGUUUGAUCACCAACGAUGACACCGUCGUCCGCGAAACAUCACUUCGCAUCCUGCUAGUCUGGAUAGACAGCAGUUUGCGUGAUUUCUGACAUCGUAAAGAGGAGAUCGAUCCGAGUUGGAUCGUGCAGAGAAUAUCUGCGCGAGACUUCAUUAUCUCCGGAUCAUUUCGGCGCUCGUGCGCCUUUCAGUGCAGCUCACAAGGCUGCGUCUGGAAGACAUGCGAGUUGUAAAUGAUCCUUUUAGCGAAGCUUGACCGCCUCGCUAUCGGAACGAUCUUACGAAGCAAGCUGGUCUUUCUAAUCAUUGUCCGGCUGCAGAUAGCGUUCAUCGAGGGCGCGUGCCUUAGAGACUUAGGUUUCUUGGUAAUUCUGCAGACAACAUUCUGCCGAGUGUGUGGACAUUGAUAAUGAGAGC
rnacentral:tRNA from 2 species